rnacentral:snRNA from 1 species
AUACUCUGGUUUCUCUUCAGAUCGUAUAAAUCUUUCGCCUUUUACUAAAGAUUUCCGUGGAGAGGAACAAUUCUGAGUCUUUAAACCAAUUUUUUGAGGCCUUGCAUUUGCGAGGCU